AGUGAACGCUGGCGGUAGGCCUAACACAUGCAAGUCGAACGGCAGCACAGUAAGAGCUUGCUCUUACGGGUGGCGAGUGGCGGACGGGUGAGGAAUACAUCGGAAUCUACUUUUUCGUGGGGGAUAACGUAGGGAAACUUACGCUAAUACCGCAUACGACCUACGGGUGAAAGCCUGGGAUCUUCGGACCUUGCGCGAUUGAAUGAGCCGAUGUCGGAUUAGCUAGUUGGCGGGGUAAAGGCCCACCAAGGCGACGAUCCGUAGCUGGUCUGAGAGCAUGAUCAGCCACACUGGAACUGAGACACGGUCCAGACUCCUACGGGAGGCAGCAGUGGGGAAUAUUGGACAAUGGGCGCAAGCCUGAUCCAGCCAUACCGCGUGGGUGAAGAAGGCCUUCGGGUUGUAAAGCCCUUUUGUUGGGAAAGAAAAGCAGCAGGUUAAUACCCCGCUGUUCUGACGGUACCCAAAGAAUAAGCACCGGCUAACUUCGUG
rnacentral:rRNA from 1 species